rnacentral:rRNA from 1 species
UACGUAGGGGGCAAGCGUUGUCCGGAUUCAUUGGGCGUAAAGAGCGUGUAGGCGGCCAGGUAGGUCGGUUGUGAAAACUGGAGGCUCAACCUUCAGAGGUCGACCGAAACCAUCUGGCUAGAGUCCGGGAGAGGAGAGUGGAAUUCCUGGUGUAGCGGUGAAAUGCGCAGAUAUCAGGAAGAACACCAGUGGCGAAAGCGGCUCUCUGGAACGGUACUGACGCUGAGACGCGAAAGCGUGGGGAGCGAACAGG